GCCGGGCGCGGUGGCGCGCGCCUGUAGUCCCAGCUACUCGGGAGGCUGAGGCAGGAGGAUCGCUUGAGCCCAGGAGUUCUGGGCUGUAGUGCGCUAUGCCGAUCGGUUGUCCGCACUAAGUUCGGCAUCAAUAUGGUGACCUCCCGGGAGCGGGGGACCACCAGGUUGCCUAAGGAGGGGUGAACCGGCCCAGGUCGGAAACGGAGCAGGUCAAAACUCCCGUGCUGAUCAAUAUCUAUUGGCUCUUUUUUUUUUUUUUUAAAGAUUUUAUUUAUUUAUUUGACACAGAAAGAGAUCACAGGCA
rnacentral:SRP_RNA from 1 species